rnacentral:rRNA from 1 species
UACGUAGGGUGCGAGCGUUGUCCGGAAUUAUUGGGCGUAAAGGGCUCGUAGGCGGUUUGUCGCGUCGGGAGUGAAAACCCAGGGCUUAACUCUGGGCUUGCUUUCGAUACGGGCAGACUAGAGGUAUGCAGGGGAGAACGGAAUUCCGGGUGUAGUGGUGAAAUGCGUAGAUAUCUGGAGGAACACCGGUGGCGAAGGCGGCAUCCUGGACCGGCAUUGACGCUGAGGCGCGAAAGCCAGGGGAGCAAACGGG